UACGGAGGAUCCGAGCGUUAUCCGGAUUUAUUGGGUUUAAAGGGUGCGCAGGCGGGAGAUUAAGUCGGCGGUGAAAUUUUGCAGCUCAACUGUAAAAGUGCCUUCGAAACUGGUUUCCUUGAGUGUGGAUGAAAUAGGCGGAAUUUGUGGUGUAGCGGUGAAAUGCAUAGAUAUCACGAGGAACUCCGAUUGCGCAGGCAGCUUACUAAACCAUAACUGACGCUCAGGCACGAAGGCGUGGGGAUCAAACAGGAUUAGAUACCCGGGUAGUCCCU
rnacentral:rRNA from 1 species